UACGAAGGGGGCUAGCGUUGCUCGGAAUUACUGGGCGUAAAGGGCGCGUAGGCGGAUAGUUUAGUCAGAGGUAAAAGCCCAGGGCUCAACCUUGGAACUGCCUUUGAUACUGGCUAUCUUGAGUACGGGAGAGGUGUGUGGAACUCCGAGUGUAGAGGUGAAAUUCGUAGAUAUUCGGAAGAACACCAGUGGCGAAGGCGACACACUGGCCCGUUACUGACGCUGAGGCGCGAAAAGCGUGGGGAGCAAACAGG
rnacentral:rRNA from 1 species